rnacentral:rRNA from 1 species
UACGGGGGGAGCAAGCGUUGUUCGGAUUUACUGGGCGUAAAGGGCUCGUAGGUGGCCAACUAAGUCGGACGUGAAAUCCCUCGGCUUAACCGGGGAACUGCGUCUGAUACUGGAUGGCUUGAGUUCGGGAGAGGGAUGCGGGAUUCCAGGUGUAGCGGUGAAAUGCGUAGAUAUCUGGAGGAAUACCGGUGGCGAAGGCGGCAUCCUGGACCAUUACUGACGCUGAGGCGCGAAAGCUAGGGGAGCAAACGGG